rnacentral:sRNA from 1 species
ACCAAUGUAAUUUGCUUGUAUUUUCAUUUUUAUGUAUGAGCAAUAUAAUAAAAAUGUGUCUAAUGAAGUCUAAGAAAGCUUUUUAAGUAAGUACAAAAUUAAAUUCUAAGUGAUUUUUCCUAUGUGUAUAUUUUUCUUCAUUUUCCAGGCUACAUAUUUUUGAAAAAUGUACCAUUUGUCUUUUGUAACUUAAAACGAGUUCUCUGUUGUUUAUUAUAUAAAAUGAAUGCUUUUUUCCCAA